UACGGGGGGUGCGAGCGUUGUUCGGAAUUAUUGGGCGUAAAGGGCGCGCAGGCGGUCUUUUAAGUCUGAUGUGAAAGCCCCGGGCUUACCCCGGGAAGUGCAUUGGAUACUGGGAGACUUGAGUACGGGAGAGGAGAGCGGAAUUCCUGGUGUAGGGGUGAAAUCCGUAGAUAUCAGGAGGAACAUCGGUGGCGAAGGCGGCUCUCUGGACCGAUACUGACGCUGAGGCGCGAAAGCAUGGGGAGCAAACAGG
rnacentral:rRNA from 1 species